rnacentral:rRNA from 1 species
UACGAAGGGGGCUAGCGUUGUUCGGAAUUACUGGGCGUAAAGCGCGUGUAGGCGGCUCGAUAAGUCGGAUGUGAAAGCCCUGGGCUCAACCUAGGAAGUGCAUUCGAAACUGCUGAGCUUGAGUUCUGGAGAGGAAGGCGGAAUUCUCGGUGUAGAGGUGAAAUUCGUAGAUAUCGAGAGGAACACCGGUGGCGAAGGCGGCCUUCUGGACAGCAACUGACGCUGAGACGCGAAAGCGUGGGGAGCAAACAGG